CUCUUUGUGCCUCCCAUCAUUUCUGCAGGCUGAGGUUUCCAUUUAAUUUUUGCAUCACAUCUUUAGCACUAUUGGACAUCCUGGAAAUCUCAUUCACAAGAUUUCAGUUUGAAGUGAUAGUGUUUGCUACCAGAGCCUCUUUUCUGUCAAAGAAAUUGGAAGCAGGAAGGUUGAUGCGUUCCUCCACAGAAAGAAAAGAGAUCUUUUAGAAUAAUAUGAAACUCACACUCUGCAUGGAGACAGCUGUGCUCACAUAUUUUCCCACCGAUAGGCAAGAGAUUACCGGAAAAGGGGUGAGGAAUCCAGAGAGAAUGUCUGCAUAAGAAGGACGGUGGAGAUUUCUUACUGAACUAAAGGCUUCGAGAAUCGGCAAAUACCUGCUCAUCGGAUCUCACUCUGUUACCCAGGCUGGAGUGGAGUGGCACAAUCAUAGUUCACUGCAGCCUUGACCUCCUGGGCUCAAGUGAUCCUCCU